CGCGGAGCAUGGUGGUAUAAUGGCUGUCACUAUUCCAAUUUAAAUGGUAUCUAUUAUCUGGGCCACCACAGUUCUUUUGCUGAUGGCAUAAAUUGGUAUCACUGGAAAGGUUACAAUUACUCCAUGAAAAAGACAACGAUAAAAAUAAAAGAUUUAAAAUAAUUUUUAUUGAUUUAAAAUGACUUCGCGCACUUAACACUUUUAGACAAAUAGAAUUUGGACAUAUAGACAGGUCAUCUAAAUAAUACAAAAUAAAUUUCAUUUGUGCUAAUAAUAUUUAAUAUUUAUCUUGUCCCUCUUUUUCCUAUUUCGUCAUACAAUAAAUAGCAAUAAACAGGUUAUACCGG